rnacentral:rRNA from 1 species
GUCCACGCCGUAAACGAUGAGUACUAGGUGCUGCGGGUAUUGACCCCUGCGGUGCCGUCGCUAACGCAUUAAGUACUCCGCCUGGGAAGUACGGCCGCAAGGCUAAAACUCAAAGGAAUUGACGGGGGCCCGCACAAGCGGUGGAGCAUGUGGUUUAAUUCGACGCAACGCGAAGAACCUUACCCAGUCUUGACAUUGAUGGAAUCUUGUAGAGAUACGAGAGUGCCCUUCGGGGCCCAGAAA